CACAUCGACGGCGGUGUUUGGCACCUCGAUGUCGGCUCAUCACAUCCUGGGGCUGAAGCCGGUCCCAAGGGUAUGGCUGUUCGCCAUUUAAAGUGGUACGCGAGCUGGGUUUAGA
rnacentral:rRNA from 1 species